rnacentral:rRNA from 1 species
UAAAGCGGCGAACGGGUGAGUAACACGUGAGUCACCUACCCUCCAGUAGGGGAUAACACUUCGAAAGGGGUGCUAAUACCGUGUACGGUCCCGACCGUGUCUGCGGAUGGGACGAAAGGUGGCCUCUCUAUAGAAGCUGCCGCUGGGGGAUGGGCUCGCGUCCCAUUAGCUAGUUGGUAGGGUAACGGCCUACCAAGGCAACUAUGGGUAGCUGGUCUGGGAGGACGAUCAGCCACACUGGAACUGAGACACGGUCCAGACUCCUACGGGAGGCAGCAGUGGGGAAUAUUGCACAAUGGGGGAAACCCUGAUGCAGCAACGCCGCGUGCGGGAUGAAGGCUUUCGGGUCGUAAACCGCUGUCAGGGGGGAAGAAAUCGCUCCGGUGAAUAGCCGGAGUGGAUGACGGUACCCCCAGAGGAAGCCCCGGCUAACUCCGUGCCAGCAGCCGCGGUAAGACGGAGGGGGCGAGCGUUGUUCGGAAUUAUUGGGCGUAAAGCGCGCGUAGGCGGUCGAGUAAGUCGGACGUGAAAGCCCAGGGCUCAACCCUGGAAGUGCGCUCGAUACUGCACGACUUGAGUACGGGAGAGGAGAGUGGAAUUCC